rnacentral:rRNA from 1 species
GAUGAACGCUGGCGGCGUGCAUAACACAUUCAAGUCGAACGGUGACGAGAGUUUCGGCUCUCUGAUCAGUGGCGGACGGGUGAGUAACGCGCAAGCAACCUGCCUUUCAAAGCGGGAUAACGACUGGAAACGGUCGCUAAUACCGCAUGACGUGUAUUGACCGCAUGAUCGAUACACCAAAAGGGAAACCUGAUGAAAGAUGGGCUCGCGUCUGAUUAGAUAGUUGGUGGGGUAACGGCUCACCAAGUCGACGAUCAGUAGCCGGACUGAGAGGUCGAACGGCCACAUUGGGAACUGAGAUACGGUCCAGACUCCUACGGGAGGCAGCAGUGGGGAAUAUUGGGCAAUGGGCGAAAGCCUGACCCAGCGACGCCGCGUGAAGGAUGAAGGUCUUCGGGAUUGUAAACUUCUGUCGACAGGGACGAAGAAAAUGACGGUACCUGUAUAGAAAAGCCAACGGGCUAAAC